CUACGGGAGGCUGCAGUCGAGAAUCUUCCGCAAUGGGCGCAAGCCUGACGGAGCAAUGCCGCGUGAGGGAUGACGGCCCUAGGGUUGUAAACCUCUGUCAGAAGGGACGAAGAACGUGACGGUACCUUCAGAGGAAGCCAUGGCUAGGACUACGUGCCAGCAGCCGCGGUAAUACGUAGAUGGCGAGCGUUAUUCGGAUUUACUGGGCGUAAAGGGUCCGUAGGGGGUCUGCCAAGUCUGAUGUGAAAUCCUGCGGCUCAACCGCGGAACUGCAUUGGAAACUGGCGGACUAGAGUGUGCGAGGGGUGAGCGGAAUUCCUGGUGUAGCGGUGGAAUGCGUAGAUAUCAGGAAGAACACCGAUGGCGAAGGCGGCUCACUGGCGCAUCACUGACCCUGAGGGACGAAAGCGUGGGUAGCAAACAGGAUUAGAUACCCCCGUAGUC
rnacentral:rRNA from 1 species